CUUUGUGAUUUCUGAUGUAACACUGAGGUUGGUGUUUGCAAGAUUUAAUGAUUAGGGAUUGAGUUAGGUCCUUAUUACCUGCAAUUGUCCAUAUCUUAUUGUAAGCUGCCUCUAAUUUAAUCUCAAAUAGGUUUGAGAAGAGAAUUAUCUAAUUAAUGUUUUGACAGUGCUACAGGAGAAAACUUGCUGAUAUCAAUGUUUUGGCUGGGGAAUUAAUGUUUCUAUCACCACUUUAAUGUUCAUGCAACGAUACGAAGCUAAGGCUCUAGAGAUCUAUCAGGCCUCAGACGCUGAUAUCAAGGUAUGUUGCUGAAAAAUUUGUACAUAACAAUGUGGUUUCUUAAUCAAGAAACUACUUUUCAUUAAAUAAAAGGCGGCUGACAUUCCGUGUUGAAUCAUUAAAUUGGUUUAGUGGUUCCUCUCCUAUCAAGGCUAGACAAUUGCAAUGCAAGAUUGUCUCAACAAAUUUGGUUGGUUCAUUAAUCCGUAUGAAGUAAUUCAUCUCAUGGAGCUUGAGACAAAGGAGGGCAAAGGGAAGAAAUUAUAGACAUGCAUGCUACUAGCAAGAGGAUAGAUGAAGAAAUUAUUGAAAGUAAAGUAUUGAACUUCUUAUCACAGGAAAUAGAUAGAGGGAAGAAAAGUUUAUCAACUAAGGUAGGCAAGGCAAAGAAAAGGAGAAGGUUUGUAAAAUGAUUCAAUAGGUGAAAUAUUCAAAUCAUUUAUAUCUUGGAAGAUCUG